rnacentral:lncRNA from 1 species
ACUUGCAUUUCUUUUGACGUUCAUGUUUAUAUAAUUAGAUUACAACUAAGUUUGUGUAUGGCUUGUUUAUAUUAUUUCAGAAUUUGCUAUUUUAGACACUUGGUAUAAGCUGUCAUACUACACGUGGCAUGUGGUAUCCCACUAAUUAGCUAUUUUAAACAUGUGACAAGUGGUAUGACACUGUAUUGAUGUAUGUGAAAUGUAUAGUCUUUCAGUUAUCAGAUAAUAUCAAGGAGUAGACAGCAUGGUGUCCGAUUUAAAGUGCGAACCUGUGUACGAGUAACAACAGUAUUCAAAACCAAAACCUAUUUAAACCAACCAAACC